CCCUUAGAUGUUCUGGGCCGCACGCGCGCUACACUGAUGCAUUCAACGAGUCUAAAACCUGCUCUGAUAGGGGUGGGUAAUCUUUUGAAUGUGCAUCGUGAUUGGGAUAGAUGAUUGCAAUUUUUCAUCUUCAACGAGGAAUGCCUAGUAAACGCAAGUCAUCAGCUUGCAUUGAUUACGUCCCUGCCCUUUGUACACACCGCCCGUCGCUCCUACCGAUUGAAUGUUCCGGUGAGCUCUUCGGACUGCGCGGUCUGCAGUUUCUGCGUUCCGUGCGGAAAGUUGCGCAAACCUUAACAUUUAGAGGAAGGAGAAGUCGUAACA
rnacentral:rRNA from 1 species